CCUACGGGAGGCAGCAGUGGGGAAUAUUGCACAAUGGGCGCAAGCCUGAUGCAGCGACGCCGCGUGAGGGAUGACGGCCUUCGGGUUGUAAACCUCUUUCAGUAGGGAAGAAGCGAAAGUGACGGUACCUGCAGAAGAAGCGCCGUCUAACUACGUGCCAGCAGCCGCGGUAAUACGUAGGGCGCAAGCGUUAUCCGGAAUUAUUGGGCGUAAAGAGCUCGUAGGCGGUUUGUCGCGUCUGCCGUGAAAGUCCGGGGCUCAACUCCGGAUCUGCGGUGGGUACGGGCAGACUAGAGUGAUGUAGGGGGGACUGGAAUUCCUGGUGUAGCGGUGAAAUGCGCAGAUAUCAGGAGGAACACCGAUGGCGAAGGCGGGUCUCUGGGCAUUAACUGACGCUGAGGAGCGAAAGCAUGGGGAGCGAACAGGAUUAGAUACCCUGAUAGUCCAUGCCGUAAACGUUGGGCACUAGGUGUGGGGGACAUUCCACGUUUUCCGCGCCGUAGCUAACGCAUUAAGUGCCCCGCCUGGGGAGUACGGCCGCAAGGCUAAAACUCACAGGAAUUGACGGGGGCCCGCACAAGCGGCGGAGCAUGCGGAUUAAUUCGAUGCAACGCGAAGAACCUUAC
rnacentral:rRNA from 1 species